CGAACGUCAGUCUAUGUAUUCCUGUGUCUCCUACGUACUCCUUGUGUUUGGAUUAGUAGAAGACUGUGGUUUGAAGGUGUCUCCUCGUUUCGUGCUCCAAGUGAUGUGUGACAAUUUUACAUUGAUUGUAGAUUAUAAAUACAUUUAAUAUAAGGAUAUUUUUCAAGAGAGUGUCUGUAGGGUGGGCUUGUGAAGUGUGCAAGCGGCUUCCCACAAGCAUCUCUCACUGCUGCAAGGGCACAGUGGGUUGGGGCUUGGCAACAGUAUCCACGGCAACAGUUGCUGCAGCAGGCCGGUUAACACUUUACUGACAGAAAAUUGUUCUGAGCAUGUGCAAGAUGACCGCCCUCUGAUAGGAGAAGGUCAUGGUGAGGACACCGGUGAGAUUUUCCCUCUGUUGCCUCAUCCAGUCAUUGUCCUUCCACCAGUUCAAACACACCACAAGAAAAACAUGAAUAAUUCAGCAGCAUCUGUGUGCAUAUGCA
rnacentral:lncRNA from 1 species